GGAUACUGGACUGGUCUGAGAGCUGAAGGAGGGAGAUGGAAGUGGAUCGAUGGAAGUGAUCUGACUGAAAGCGACUGGAUCCAAGACCAACCUCCUAGUGACGGUCAGUGCGUGGUUUCUGUCCAAGACAAAAGAU